rnacentral:lncRNA from 1 species
GGGGUCUUUAUGUUCUCCACGUUGCUCCCUGCCCAGUCACUGUGAGCUAGACCCACCUCUACUGAAGAUGUGGCUUCUAUUAGGUGGCUCUCCCUUAAUGCUACAGGCAUUGUCUCCCAGUUCUAGUACCUCCUUUCUCUUAGGCUUUGGCCUAGUGGGUAAGAGCUCUCUCCGUUGCUGGCCUUGGAGUGUUGCACUGGCCCUUGUUUCCUUUGACCCUGCCCACACCUACGAGAGAAACAAGAGAAAACAAUAUUGGCCCACCAGUUCUGUGAUACUGCUCUGUCCUUCAUGAUAGACGCUGUAAUCAAAACGGGAGCAACUACCGGUUCAUGCCCUGCUCGGAGACCUACUCAUCAGCAUGGAAAAGACAGAACAAGACCUCUGACAACAGCUCAGCUGCUGAGGCCACAGAGGGAAAAUUAGAAAGAUAAAAAAUAUAGAUUAUAACAUCAUCAAAAAAGGGGCAUUAGGCCAGGAAGGAGCCUGCUGAGUGUUAUGGGAAGGACUUCACUGGAACCUAAGACAAUGGAGAAGAGAUCUUUAGAAUAUGCGUGCCUGAGUCAGUCCCAGCAAAUGGUCAUGCUGCUCAGAUAAGCUUGUUUCUGGAAGCACAUUGCUUGAAUCAUUCACCUUCCAGAAAUCUGGUUGCAAAAGUGACCAUUCCUAUCACCAUUCCGGUCCUCACGCGUUAUUGACACCCCCACUGCGGGAAAGACACUGUGAUUGGUGUUCCCUCAGGGUAAGAACAUCUAGGGAAAGCUUAGUGCUGCCCAGAUGGACUCUGGCAUCAUUGAUCAAGUGAAAACAGUAAUGUCCCAAGCAAGACGGGAAGAGGAGGCACCAAGAACAAACAUUUAUUUUAAAGCAGUAAUCUUUAUGAAAUAUGCAUGAUACAGCUAGCUGCUGAUAUAAUGCCUGUUACAGCUAUUUCUCGGCCUAUUUGCAAACCCAUCAACCACACUAUGAAGUGGCACUGUGGACAACACAAAAAGGAAUAAUGACAAUUAAAUAAGGCCCAUUGCGUAUUAAGCAUUGCACUUGAACUCAUCCAAUUUCAACAACAGCACUAUGAGAAAAACAUUAUUAUCCCCUUUUUACCAAAGAGGAAACAGAAACUUGGAGAGAUUAUAGAUGUGUUCAAGUGCACAUGAUAAGGGACAGGGCAGAAUCUAACCAACAGUAUUAAACUAAAAUGACUGAGUGGACGCCCUGGCUAUAUAUUUGUGAAAGUAGCACUGGGCAUGACUGCAUAUUCAUAUACCAAGUGCAUAGUCAGUAAAAAAUAUGACUGAGCCAAUACAAGGUCCAAAUGGGGGGUGAGGAAAAUAAAUGUAAGACUAUUCAGAGAGAGAGCGAGUCCUUAUUUCUGGGGCAAUCACCAGGGAUGUGAGAUUUGAACUUGACUUUGAACAGUAGGGAAGUUCAGGUGGGGCAAACGGUGUGGGUCAACUCACAGG